rfam:Oryza sativa (indica cultivar-group) chromosome 2, whole genome shotgun sequence.
AAAAAGUCAAACCCUAGGUUUCCGUGUCUAAGUUUGAAUGUCCGUCUUAUAUGAAUUUUUUUUAUAAUUCAUAUUUUUAUUGUUGUUAAAUGAUAAAACAUGAUUAAUAUUUUAUGCGUGACUUGUCUUUUUAUUUUUUUCAUAUUUUUUUUAAAUAUAAGACGGACGGUUAAAUGUUGGACAUAGAAAAUCAGGGUUUGUCUUAAA